rnacentral:rRNA from 1 species
AACCUGGUUGAUCCUGCCAGUAAUCAUACGCUCGUCUCAAAGAUUAAGCCAUGCAAGUGUAAGUAUAAGCUUUUAUAUAGUGAAACUGCGAAUGGCUCAUUAUAUCAGUUAUAAUUUAUUUGAUAAAUAAUAUUUUUAAUUAUUACAUGGAUAACUGUAGUAAUUCUAGAGCUAAUACAUGCCUUAAAUUUAUAUUAUUAAUUUAUUAAUAAUAUAUAGUAUUUAUUAGAUUAUAAUCAACUAAUAUAUAUUAUGCAAAUAAUAUAUAUUAUUUAUGAUGAUUCAUAAUAAAUAUAUUUUCUUUAAAAAUUUUAUUAUUUACUAAUCGCAAUAAAUAAUUUGCGAUAUAUCAUUUAAGUUUCUGCCCUAUCAGCUUUAGAUGGUAGUGUAUUGGACUACCAUGGCAAUAACGGGUAACGAAGAAUUUGGGUUCGAUUUCGGAGAGGGAGCCUGAGAAAUGGCUACCACAUCCAAGGAAGGCAGCAGGCGCGUAAAUUACCCAAUCCUAAAAUAGGGAGGUAGUGACAAGAAAUAACAAUGUUAAACUAUUACAUAGUUUAACAAUUGUAAUGAAUAAAAUAUAAAUAAAAUAAUAAAUACAAUUGGAGGGCAAGUCUGAUGCCAGCAGCCGCGGUAACUUCAGCUCCAAUAGCGUAUAUUAACAUUGUUGCAUUUAAAAAGCUCGUAGUUGAAUUUAUUUUUAUAAAUUUUAUAUAAAUAAUAUUAUUUUAUAAUAAAAUUAUUAAAAUUUAUUUUAUAUAAUUUUAUUAUAUAUUAAAUGGUAAUAUUAUUUAUAAUUUAUAAAAAAAUUUUAUAUUAUAUUAUUUUAUAAUAUAAUAUAAAUAUUACUGUGAAAAAAUUAGAGUGUUUAAAGCAUGUAUAUAAAAUUAAAAAAUAUAUUUUUUUAAAUAUAUUUUUUUAGCUUGAAUAUAUUAGCAUGGAAUAAUAAUAUUAUAAUAUUUUUAUAUUAUUUUGUUGGUUAAAUAUAAAAAUAUAUGAUUAAUAGGGACAAUUGGGGGUAUUUAUAUUUCAUAGUCAGAGGUGAAAUUCUGGGAUUUAUGAAAGAUAAACAAAUGCGAAAGCAUUUACCAAAAAUGUUUUCAUUAAUCAAGAACGAAAGUUAGGGGAUCAAAGAGGCUUAGAUACCCUCGUAGUCUUAACUAUAAACUAUAACACCUAAAUAUUGGUAUAAUAAUUUAAAAUGUAUUAAUUAUAAUUAAUUUAUUAAUUAUAUAUUAAUGCAUUAAUAAUUUAUAUCAGCGUUUAUAAUGGGAAACCAAAGGCUUUGGUUUAUGGGGGGAGUACGGUCGCAAGGCUGAAACUUAAAGGAAUUGACGGAAGGGCACACCAGAUAUGGGUUAUGCGGCUUAAUUUGACUCAACACGGGGAAACUUACCAGGUCCAGACACAGUUAGGAUUGACAGAUUAAUGAUCUUUCUUGAUUCUGUGGGUGGUGGUGCAUGGCCGUUCUUAGUUGGUGGAGUGAUUUGUCUGGUUAAUUCCGAUAACGAACGAGACCUUCGCUUAUUAAAUAAUUUAAUUAUAUUUUUAUAAUUAUAUUAUAUUUAUUAUAUAUAUGUAUUAAUUUAUAUAUAUUUAAUAAAUAUUUAUAAUUAUUACUAAUAAAAUAUAAUUUUAUUUAUUAUAUUAUAGUAAUAUAAUAUGAUAAAUAUUUAAUAAAUUACUUAAAAGGACACUGAAAAUUUAUAUUUCAGGGAAGUUGAAGGCAAUAACAGGUCUGUGAUGCCCUUAGAUGUUCUGGGCCGCACGUGUGACACAAUGGUACAUUCAAUAAGUAUUAUUAAAAAUAAUAUAUUUUAAUAUUUAUAUUAAAGUAUAUUUUAAUCUGAAUCGAAAGGUUUGGAUAAUCUCGAAAAUGUGCCUAAUCUGGGAUUGAUUAUUGUAAUUAUUGAUCAUGAACGAGGAACACCUAGUAAGUGCAAGUCAUCAGCUUGCGCUGAAUACGUCCCUGCCCUUUGUACACACCGCCCGUCGCACCUACCGAUUGGAUGAUCCGAUGAAAAUAAUAGAAAUAAUAAAUUAUUAGUUUAUAUUUACUAAUCAUAAAUAUAAAUUAUUAUUUAGUGUUAAAGUUAUUUAAAUCUUAUUAUCUAGAGGAAGGUGAAGUCGUAACAAGGUUUCCGUAGGUGAACCUGCGGAAGGAUCA